rnacentral:rRNA from 1 species
CCUACGUGAGGCAGCAGUGGGGAAUUUUGGACAAUGGGGGCAACCCUGAUCCAGCAACGCCGCGUGAAGGAUGAAGGUCUUCGGAUUGUAAACUUCUUUUGUAGGGGACGAAUCACUCCGUGAAUAACGGAGAAUGACGGUACCCUGCGAAUAAGCCACGGCUAACUUCGUGCCAGCAGCCGCGGUAAUACGAAGGUGGCAAGCGUUACUCGGAAUUACUAGGCGUAAAGCGCAGGUAGGUGGUUAGGUAAGUCUGUAAUGAAAUCUCCCGGCUUAACUGGGAGGGGUUUAUAGAUACUGCUUGACUUGAGUGUGGGAGAGGUAACUGGAAUUCCAGGUGUAGCGGUGAAAUGCGUAGAUAUCUGGAGGAACACCAAUGGCGAAAGCAGGUUACUGGCCCAAUACUGACACUGAGCUGCGAAAGCUAGGGGAGCAAACA